AGCAGCCGCGGUAAUUCCAGCUCCAAUAGCGUAUAUUAAAGUUGUUGCAGUUAAAAGCUCGUAGUUGAAUUUCGGGGUCAGUAGGUUGGUCGUGCCACCGGUACGUACUGGUCUCACUGAUUCCUCCUUCCUGAAGAACCGUAAUGCCAUUAAUUUGGUGUUGCGGGGAAACAGAACUGUUACUUUGAAAAAUUAGAGUGUUUAAAGCAGGCUAACGCUUGAAUACAUUAGCAUGGAAUAAUGAAAUAGGACGAUCGAUCCUAUUUUGUUGGUUUCUAGGAUUGACGUAAUGAUUAAUAGGGAUAGUUGGGGGCAUUAGUAUUCAAUUGUCAGAGGUGAAAUUCUUGGAUUUAUUGAAGACUAACUACUGCGAAAGCAUUUGCCAAGGAUGUUUUCAUUAAUCAAGAACGAAAGUUAGGGAUCGAAGACGAUCAGAUACCGUCGUAGUCUUAACCAUAAACUAUGCCGACUAGGGAUCGGAUGAUGUUAAUUUUAUAAUGACUUCAUC
rnacentral:misc_RNA from 1 species